rnacentral:rRNA from 1 species
UGACCUCAAAUCAGGUAAGAAUACCCGCUGA